GAUGAACGCUAGCGACAGGCCUAACACAUGCAAGUCGAGGGGCAGCACAAGGUAGCAAUACUGAGGUGGCGACCGGCGCACGGGUGAGUAACGCGUAUGCAACCUGCCUGUAACAGGGGGAUAGCCUCUUGAAAGAGAGAUUAAUACCGCAUAAUACAGUUGAACGGCAUCGUUCGACUUUUAAACAUUUAUGGGUUACAGAUGGGCAUGCGUUUCAUUAGGUAGUUGGUGAGGUAAUGGCUCACCAAGCCGACGAUGAAUAGGGGUUCUGAGAGGAAGGUCCCCCACACUGGUACUGAGACACGGACCAGACUCCUACGGGAGGCAGCAGUGAGGAAUAUUGGUCAAUGGACGCAAGUCUGAACCAGCCAAGUCGCGUGAAGGAUGAAGGUAUUAUGUAUUGUAAACUUCUUUUGUCAGGGAAUAAUGACCGCUACGUGUAGCGGAGAGGAAUGUACCUGACGAAUAAGCAUCGGCUAACUCCGUGCCAGCAGCCGCGGUAAUACGGAGGAUGCGAGCGUUAUCCGGAUUUAUUGGGUUUAAAGGGUGCGUANGCGGUUUGNUAAGUCAGUGGUGAAAGUUUGCGGCUCAACCGUAAAAUUGCCAUUGAAACUGGCGAACUUGANUACAGUAGAGGUAGG
rnacentral:rRNA from 1 species